rnacentral:rRNA from 1 species
GACGAACGCUGGCGGCGUGCCUAAUACAUGCAAGUUGAGCGCUGAAGGUUGGUACUUGUACCAACUGGAUGAGCAGCGAACGGGUGAGUAACGCGUGGGGAAUCUGCCUUUGAGCGGGGGACAACAUUUGGAAACGAAUGCUAAUACCGCAUAAAAACUUUAAACACAAGUUUUAAGUUUGAAAGAUGCAAUUGCAUCACUCAAAGAUGAUCCCGCGUUGUAUUAGCUAGUUGGUGAGGUAAAGGCUCACCAAGGCGAUGAUACAUAGCCGACCUGAGAGGGUGAUCGGCCACAUUGGGACUGAGACACGGCCCAAACUCCUACGGGAGGCAGCAGUAGGGAAUCUUCGGCAAUGGAGGAAAGUCUGACCGGGCAACGCCGCGUGAGUGAAGAAGGGUUUCGGAUCGUAAAACUCUGUUGGUAGAGAAGAACGUUGGUGAGAGUGGAAAGCUCAUCAAGUGACGGUAACUACCCAGAAAGGGACGGCUAACUACGUG